UACGUAGGGGGCGAGCGUUGUCCGAAGUUACUGGGCGUAAGGCGCGCGUAGGCGGCUUCUUAAGUCUGAGGUGAAAGGUUCAACGCUUAACGUGAACAGUGCCUUGGAUACUGGGGAGCUUGAGUGUGGCAGUGGAUAGUGGAAUUCCUGGUGUAGCGGUGAAAUGCGUAGAUAUCAGGAGGAACACCGGUGGCGAAGGCGGGUCUCUGGGCCGAUACUGACGCUGAGGAGCGAAAGCGUGGGGAGCGAACAGG
rnacentral:rRNA from 1 species